rnacentral:rRNA from 1 species
GAUGAACGCUGGCGGCGUGCCUAAUACAUGCAAGUCGAGCGAACGGACGAGAAGCUUGCUUCUCUGAUGUUAGCGGCGGACGGGUGAGUAACACGUGGAUAACCUACCUAUAAGACUGGGAUAACUUCGGGAAACCGGAGCUAAUACCGGAUAAUAUUUUGAACCGCAUGGUUCAAAAGUGAAAGACGGUCUUGCUGUCACUUAUAGAUGGAUCCGCGCUGCAUUAGCUAGUUGGUAAGGUAACGGCUUACCAAGGCAACGAUGCAUAGCCGACCUGAGAGGGUGAUCGGCCACACUGGAACUGAGACACGGUCCAGACUCCUACGGGAGGCCGCAGUAGGGAAUCUUCCGCAAUGGGCGAAAGCCUGACGGAGCAACGCCGGGUGAGUGAUGAAGGUCUUCGGAUCGUAAAACUCUUUUAUUAGGGAAGAACAUAUGUGUAAGUAACUGUGCACAUCUUGACGGUACCUAAUCAGAAAGCCACGGCUAACUACGUG